rnacentral:piRNA from 1 species
AUAGUUAUCUCACUCAGGAU